rnacentral:rRNA from 1 species
GUACACGCUGUGACUAGCAUAUCAAUAAGCGGAGGAAAAGAAACUAACAAGGAUUCCCCUAGUAACGGCGAGUGAAGCGGGAAGAGCUCAAAUUUGAAAUCUUAAAGGGUUUCCCUUUACGAAUUGUAGUUUAAAGAAGUGUUUUCUGUUGAGGUUUUGGUAAAAGUUCUUUGGAAUAGGACAUCAUAGAGGGUGAGAAUCCCGUAUUUGACCUUUACUUUCAACUUUGUGAUACACUUUCAAGGAGUCGGAUUGUUUGGGAAUGCAGUCCAAAAUGGGUGGUAAAUUUCAUCUAAAGCUAAAUAUUGGCGAGAGACCGAUAGCGAACAAGUACCGUGAGGGAAAGAUGAAAAGAACUUUGAAAAGAGAGUUAAACAGUACGUGAAAUUGUCAAAAGGGAAGCGUUUGACACCAGCGUUGUUUUUCUGAAAAUCAAUUAAAGAACUGUUUAUGCUAAGUUGUUUAGACUUUAUCAGCUAACUGUUUAGUUUUGAGCUUUUCUUUAAUGCACUUUUCAGUUAACAAGUCAACAUCAAUUUCUUUUGCUGUAAAAAAGCUUGAGGAAGGUGGCUUGAGAUUCGUCUUAAGUGUUUAUAGCCUCUUGCCUAUGCAGUCGGAGAGAUUGAGGUCUGCAGCGUAGAUCCUUCGGGGCUAAAUGCAUUUGUGCUAAGUUAUAACAUUUUCAUAGACAACUUGUUGACUAUGAUUUGUCUUGUAGCUUACUCGCUUAUGUUAUUUUACCUACGCUUAGGAUGUUGACAGCAGUAUAGACUGU